rnacentral:tRNA from 1 species
UUUCUGAUAGCUCAGUUGGUAAAGAAUCUGCCUGCAAUGCAGGAGACACUGGUUCGAUUUCUGGGUCGGGAAG